CACGUAGGGUGCGAGCGUUGUCCGGAAUUAUUGGGCGUAAAGAGCUCGUAGGCGGUGUGUCGCGUCGGCCGUGAAAACUUGGGGCUUAACUCUGAGCGUGCGGUCGAUACGGGCAUCACUUGAGUUCGGCAGGGGAGACUGGAAUCCUGGUGUAGCGGUGAAAUGCGCAGAUAUCAGGAGGAACACCGGUGGCGAAGGCGGGUCUCUGGGCCGAUACUGACGCUGAGGAGCGAAAGCAUGGGGGAGCGAACAGG
rnacentral:rRNA from 1 species